UACGGAGGACCCAAGCGUUAUCCGGAAUUACUGGGCGUAAAGAGUUGCGUAGGUGGCAGAGUAAGUCUGUAGUGAAAUUGUGUGGCUCAACCAUACACCCAUUACCGAAACUGCUCAGCUAGAGAAUGAGAGAGGUUAUUGGAAUUCCCAGUGUAGGAGUGAAAUCCGUAGAUAUUGGGAGGAACACCGAUGGCGUAGGCAGAUAACUGGCUCAUUUCUGACACUAAGGCACGAAAGCGUGGGGAGCAAACGGG
rnacentral:rRNA from 1 species